UAAUACGAAGGGUGCAAGCGUUACUCGGAAUCACUGGGCGUAAAGCGUGCGUAGGCGGUUGGUUAAGUCUGCUGUGAAAGCCCUGGGCUCAACCUGGGAACUGCAGUGGAUACUGGCCAGCUAGAGUGUGAUAGAGGAUGGUGGAAUUCCCGGUGUAGCGGUGAAAUGCGUAGAGAUCGGGAGGAACACCAGUGGCGAAGGCGGCCAUCUGGAUCAACACUGACGCUGAGGCACGAAAGCGUGGGGAGCAAACAGGAUUAGAUACCCUGGUAGUCCACGCCCUAAACGAUGCGAACUGGACGUUGGGAGCAACUUGGCUCUCAGUGUCGAAGCUAACGCGCUAAGUUCGCCGCCUGGGGAGUACGGUCGCAAGACUG
rnacentral:rRNA from 1 species